AAAACUGCGGCCGCCUCGAUCUCGUGAGGUUAUCAUUGCCCACGUGUGCAUGACGUCAGAGCAAGUCGGGGUCAAGUCGGACACAAAUCAAACCGGCAUGCAUUGGGCGGCGAUCGCCGGUGAUCGAUUCGGCACAGGCCUGGCUCAUCUCAAACGGGACUACUAUCUGCAGAAAACAUCAAGAUGA